GAUGAACGCUGGCGGCGUGCCUAAUACAUGCAAGUCGAGCGAACAGAUGAGGAGCUUGCUCCUCUGACGUUAGCGGCGGACGGGUGAGUAACACGUGGAUAACCUACCUAUAAGACUGGGAUAAUUUCGGGAAACCGGCGCUAAUACCGGAUAAUAUAUUGAACCGCAUGGUUCAAUAGUGAAAGACGGUUUUGCUGUCACUUAUCGAUGGAUCCGCGCUGCAUUAGCUGGUUGGUAAGGUAACGGCUUACCAAGGCAACCAUGCGUAGCCGACCUGAGAGGGUGAUCGGCCACACUGGAGCGGAGACACGGUCCAGGCUACUACGGGAGGCAGCAGUAGGGAAUCUGCCGCAGUGGGCGAAAGCCUGACGGAGCAACGCCGCGUGAGUGAUAAAGGUCUUCGGAUCGUAAAACUCUGUUAUUAGGUAAAAACAGAUGUGGAAGUAACUAUGCACGUCUUGACGGUACCGAGUCAGAAAGCCACGGCUAACUACGUG
rnacentral:rRNA from 1 species